AACGCGAAGAACCUUACCUAGCCUUGACAUGCAUUGGACCGACGCUGAAAGGCGUCUUUCCCGCAAGGGACCGGUGCACAGGUGCUGCAUGGCUGUCGUCAGCUCGUGUCGUGAGAUGUUGCGUUAAGUCGCGCAACGAGCGCAACCCCUGUCCUUAGUUGCCACCAUUAAGUUGGGCACUCUAGGGAGACAAACCCUCUUUGAGGGUGGGAAGGUGGGGAUGACGUCAAGUCAGGAUGGCCCUUACGCCCAGGGCUGCACACGUACUACAAUGCUCAGUACAGAACGACCCGAAAUCGCGAGGUGGAGGAAAUCACUAAAACUGAGCCCAGUUCGGAUUGUAGGCUGCAACUCGCCUACAUGAAGCCGGAAUCGCUAGUAAUGGCGUAUCAGCUACGACGCCGUGAAUACGUUCCCGGGCCUUGUACACACCGGAGUA
rnacentral:rRNA from 1 species